GUAAUGUUACAAAUGGUGUGGUAAAAGUCCUCAUUGGCCUGUAGUUCAUUGAUGGACAGCUGUUGGCAUGAUUAUGAUGAGAACACGAAUAUCCUUGGGCCGUAGUGCAUGGAUAAUUCGUGGUCGUGAUACUAAUGAAUAUCAUUGACAUGUAGUGCAGGGAUGAUUCGAUGAUGUGGUUUAUUUAUUAAGCUGAGUCUCAUUUAUAAUAAAC
rnacentral:lncRNA from 1 species